rnacentral:lncRNA from 1 species
CCAAAUGCCACACCGAUGAAGAUUGAAAGGAGAUCGUUGCAACACCAAAGGUUGAGAAGUUAAAGCAAAACGAAGUAUCCGGUGGGAGACGGUGAUGUAAGAGACAACACACAUGGGCCGCCACGCCCAUCUUGAUGCAUGAAGAAGCUGACAGCUAAGGUGAACUCUGACAUACAUUAAGUUGUUUUUUUUUUUUUUUGUAGAAAAUACUCAUCAACCUUAAUUUUGACAGAUUUUUUUUCUCAAAAAGAGAAUAUGAAAUUCCCACCAGCUUUUAAUGUCUCUUCCCAUUAGCCAAACAUUUACAUGUUUCUAUAUUUUUCAUUACCAAUUUGCCCUUCCUUCAGUUUUCUCCUGUCUCCUACUCUCUUUCAUAUUUUCUUCCUCUCUCUCUCUCUCUCAACCGUCGGCUGCCUCGAAGCUCUCCGGCGCCGAUCUGCUGCAGGAAAAUCUAGUUCGAUGCCGACAAUCGACGCCGCCGACGAUCGAUGACCCUACUCUCUUCCUCUAGUUGGUUGAUUAAUGUUCUCUAAAGUGCAUCUCUCUAGAUCAGAGGCCUCUAGCCUCGAGUUCUGAUUGAAGGAACCAAAUUGAGGUCUACAUGCUCACUAAAUCAGAUUUUUUUGAAGGUAAGUAUGGGUUUCUGCAAGUUUGUUAUUUGGCCAGAAUCUGUGUAAAAUUGAAAUCAAGUUUUGAAACUUAACUAUAUGUGUUUGAUUGAAUUUGAAUAAGACUUAACAUAGUAGUUGAAUGAUCGGUGUGUGGGAUGAUAAUUAUCCAUGUUGUUUGCAAUUGUAAGUUGUGUUCCAGAGUCAUUAAUAUGGGCUUGAUUGUGAUUCAUAGUUGGGGAAAUAAGGUGUAUACAACAAAAGCUUCAAUUUGAUAUGGUAGCCCUUCUAGGUAAAAUCAUGAAGCAAUGGUCUGUAGCUGGGUAGAGUACUAGAGUUUCGGUUAUCGUAUACACACGAUGCUAUGUAUGAAGAAACCAAUAGGUUUUAAUGGCAUUCGCUUGACCACAGUAAUCGUAGAUGACAUGAAAUGUGUGCUUUGCUUUUCAGCUAGGAUGAUAAUUCUCUCUUUUCUUUUAAUAAUUUUUUACUUAUUUUUAUUUUUUGAUCGGUUUUCGAUGUAG